UAUGAAGUCUUUGUUUUCUUCCGAAAACAAGCUCAAUGAGAGCCAUCGGGGGUAGAUCUAUCUCAUGACGAGUGGUGGAAUACUUUGACUCAUGAGAGAGAAGCUGAGGCGAAGGCGUCUACCUAGAGGGUUUCUGUCGAUCAAGGGCGAGAGUAGGAGUAUCCAACAGGAUUAGAGACCCUGGUAGUUCCUACCUUAAACGAUGCCGACAGGAGUUUGUCAUUUGUUAAUGGCAGAAUCUUUGGAGAAAUCAUAGUUCUUGGGCUCUGGGGGAACUACGACCGCAAGGCUGAAACUUGAAGGAAUUGACGGAAGGGCACACCAGGGGUGGAGCCUGUGGCUUAAUUUGAAUCAACACGGGGAAACUUACCAGGACCAGAUGUUUUUUAUGACUGACAGGCUUCGGGUCUUUCAGGAUAUUGUUUUUGGUGGUGCAUGGCCGUUGGUGGUGCGUGGGUUGACCUGUCUAGCGUUGAUUCAGCUAACGAGCGAGAUUAUCGCCAAUUAUUUACUUUGCCGAAGUCCUUCGGUUAAAGUUCUAAUUGGGACUCCCUGCGAUUUUAGCAGGUGGAAGAGGGUAGCAAUAACAGGUCCGUGAUGCCCUUUAGAUGCUCUGGGCUGCACGCGUGCUACAAUGUUAGGAUCAAUAGGACUGCGAGCCUGAGAGGGUGCGCUACUCUUAUAAUCCCUAACGUAGUUGGGAUUGACGUUUGUAAUCAGCGUCAUGAACCAGGAAUCCCUUGUAAAUGUGUGUCAACAACGCACGUUGAAUACGUCCCUGCCCUUUGUACACACCGCCCGUCGCUCCUACCGAUUGGAUGACUCGGUGAAAUCACCGGAUGCUUACGAGCAGAAAGUGAUUAAAUCACGUUAUCUAGAGGAAGGAGAAGUCGUAACAAGGUAACGGUAGGUGAACCUGCCGUUGGAUC
rnacentral:rRNA from 1 species